rnacentral:rRNA from 1 species
AUAAUACUCCAUAGAUUAGAGACACUGGAAUGUUCUUUAGUCGAAAGUUCUGGCGCCUUAGGAUGGAUCUGCGGUCGAUUAGGUUGUCGUUGGGGUAACGGCCCAACAAGCCUGUAAUCGAUACGGGUUGUGGGAGCAAGAGCCCGGAGAUGGAAUCUGAGACACGAUUCCGGGCCCUACGGGGCGCAGCAGGCGCGAAAACUUUACAAUGCAGGAAACUGUGAUAAGGGAACUCCGAGUGCCCGUAUACGCGGGCUGUCCAGGUGUUUAAAAAUCAUCUGAAGAAAGGGCCGGGCAAGACCGGUGCCAGCCGCCGCGGUAAUACCGGCGGCUCGAGUGGUGGCCACUAUUAUUGGGCUUAAAGCGUCCGUAGCUGGACCGAUAAGUCUCUUGGGAAAUCCGCCGGCUCAACCGGCGGGCGUCUAAGGGAUACUGUUAGUCUAGGGACCGGGAGAGGUGAGAGGUACUCCGGGGGUAGGAGUGAAAUCCUGUAAUCCCCGGGGGACCACCGAUGGCGAAGGCAUCUCACCAGAACGGCUCCGACAGUGAGGGACGAAAGCUGGGGGAGCGAACCGGAUUAGAUACCCGGGUAGUCCCAGCCGUAAACUAUGCGCGUUAGGUGU